rfam:Triticum aestivum genome assembly, contig: Triticum_aestivum_CS42_TGACv1_scaffold_130495_2BL
UGUGUUCUCCCUCCGUUCCAAAAUACUUGACUUCCAUUUGUCCAAAAAUGGAUGUACCUAUAUACUAAAACAUGUCUAGAUACAUAUAUAUUUUGACAAAUAGAAGGCAUGUAUUGUGCAAUGGAGGGAGUAGAAU